rnacentral:rRNA from 1 species
AUGGAGCCGACCUUGAAAUACCACCCUUUAAUGUUUGAUGUUCUAACGUUGACCCGUAAUCCGGGUUGCGGACAGUGUCUGGUGGGUAGUUUGACUGGGGCGGUCUCCUCCUAAAGAGUAACGGAGGAGCACGAAGGUUGGCUAAUCCUGGUCGGACAUCAGGAGGUUAGUGCAAUGGCAUAAGCCAGCUUGACUGCGAGCGUGACGGCGCGAGCAGGUGCGAAAGCAGGUCAUAGUGAUCCGGUGGUUCUGAAUGGAAGGGCCAUCGCUCAACGGAUAAAAGGUACUCCGGGGAUAACAGGCUGAUACCGCCCAAGAGUUCAUAUCGACGGCGGUGUUUGGCACCUCGAUGUCGGCUCAUCACAUCCUGGGGCUGAAGUAGGUCCCAAGGGUAUGGCUGUUCGCCAUUUAAAGUGGUACGCGAGCUGGGUUUAGAACGUCGUGAGACAGUUCGGUCCCUAUCUGCCGUGGGCGCUGGAGAACUGAGGGGGGCUGCUCCUAGUACGAGAGGACCGGAGUGGACGCAUCACUGGUGUUCGGGUUGUCAUGCCAAUGGCACUGCCCGGUAGCUAAAUGCGGAAGAGAUAAGUGCUGAAAGCAUCUAAGCACGAAACUUGCCCCGAGAUGAGUUCUCCCUGACUCCUUGAGAGUCCUGA